GCCAGCAUGGCAUAGGGGUUUGUGUGUUGGACUAUGACUCUGGAGACCGGAGUUCGAUUCUCAGUUCGGCCA